AGUCGAGCGCGAAAACACUUCGGUGUGAGUAAAGCGGCGGACGGGUGAGUAACGCGUAGGAAUCUACCUAGUAGUGGGGGACAACUCGGGGAAACUCGAGCUAAUACCGCAUACGCCCUACGGGGGAAAGCGGGGGACCUUCGGGCCUCGUGCUAUUAGAUGAGCCUGCGUUGGAUUAGCUAGUUGGUGGGGUAAAGGCCUACCAAGGCGACGAUCCAUAGCUGGUCUGAGAGGAUGAUCAGCCACACCGGGACUGAGACACGGCCCGGACUCCUACGGGAGGCAGCAGUGGGGAAUAUUGCGCAAUGGGCGAAAGCCUGACGCAGCCAUGCCGCGUGUGUGAAGAAGGCCUUCGGGUUGUAAAGCACUUUCAAUUGGGAGGAAAGGUUCACGGUUAAUAACCGUGAGCUAUGACGUUACCUUUAGAAGAAGCACCGGCUAACUCCGUGCCAGCAGCCGCGGUAAUACGGAGGGUGCGAGCGUUAAUCGGAAUUACUGGGCGUAAAGCGCGCGUAGGUGGUCUGUUAAGUCGGAUGUGAAAGCCCUGGGCUCAACCUGGGAACUGCACCCGAUACUGGCAGACUAGAGUGCGGGAGAGGGAGGUAGAAUUCCACGUGUAGCGGUGAAAUGCGUAGAUAUGUGGAGGAAUACCAGUGGCGAAGGCGGCCUCCUGGCUCGACACUGACACUGAGGUGCGAAAGCGUGGGGAGCAAACAGGA
rnacentral:rRNA from 1 species